CCUUAGUAGUACGUUUCAUGUGCAAGGUUCCUGUCUGUGAUCUCUUGCUGCUGGGGAAGUCAUGAGCUACCUGUGGGGCGAGCUGACCAUCCGUACUACCGUCGCCUUGAAUGCCUCCAACCAGCAGUGUUUGCUGCCAGACAGACACCUUGAGAAGACAGAGGACAUGGUUAAGUUCAUGAAGGAUAUCUUGGAUGGUGCUGCUGAAGCACGGGCUGGUGAUGGACUUCUGCAACGAAGCAAGAGAGUCAUCUAUGAGGCCAAGGCUGCUGUAAUGUCUGUCCCAGUCCUCUGUCAGCCUCCCAGACAAGAAAUCUCUGCUCCUGUUGAGGCGGAGCAGCUUCUGUCUGUUGUUACUUGUCCUAGUGCUGAGCACCACCAAGCAGCAGCUGGGCCCUUGGUGCUGACCCCUGCCCCUUGGUGAAAACAAGAGAGGAGCAAGGCAGGAAGCACAAAAGCAAACCUCUCUCAUGAAGGAAACAGCACAACUUCAAGCACAGCUUUCAGCACAGCAUACCAAGGAGGAACAGAAAUCCCAAGCAGAGCAGAGGGGAGGAGUGGCUUAGAGAAAAGCAAAAGCACCCCACAAAGCACACAGCCAAAACACCACCCCACAAAGGACACAGCCAACCUACCCCCGCAAAGGGGAGCAGCCAAAGGCUUCUGCCUCUCCUGGGGCAACUUAAAAAGGGGAGGUCAAUUGAAGUCUCCUCCCACCCCAGCUGUGGCCACUUUGCCCUCCCUGCUCAGUGCCCUUUAUAAGCAGAGCAGGAGGAGCCCAGCCCCAAGCUGGGCCCAUUGCGGGCCAAGGGAUCCUCCGCCUGGCAUCCCAGGUGAGUGCGCACGGGUGAGCACCGGGUGUGUGGUGGAGGGUUUCAAAGGCCGGGGGGCCUGGCUGGCCCCCCGGCUAGCUAGGGCCACCUUAGGGCUGGGCUACUGACCCACUGCAACAUCCCCCUUAGCUCACGGGUGCUAAGUCUGUGUUGUUACUGAGGCUGAGGUUUCUCUAGGAGGUUGGAUCCUCGAGGGUUUUGCUCUGGGUUCUGCGAUGGAGGCAAAGAUGGAGCAGGAGCACCAACUGGAGCUGGUAAUGGACCAGCAGCAGCAGCAGCUGGUAAUGGAACUGAAAGCAGGAGUCAGCCACCUGCCACCCAUCCCCUCCUGAUCCCAACCCCAGAAACCCAAAGCAGCACUUGGCACAGGAGGUCUCUCGUGUUGCAGUCUCACCUUCACGCCCUGGAAUACUUUGCUUCAGCCAGCAGCAUGGGGUUGGAUACCAACAGCAGAGUCGACUUAACCUGUGACUAAGUGGACUUUAAGUGUUCUGACUCCACAGUAGAACUUGAUAAAGAAAGAUGUGAAUGGAAGCAGGCUCUGACUGCUCUGUGUAACUGAUGAGAAGCUUUCUGAAGGAGGUGAAUUUGUUUUACAGCCCUUCACUCAGCUGGUUACAGAUCUUCAAGGUAGCUGCUGGUGCAGUGUCUGUUGGAGACUGUUAGCCACUCUGAAGGAGGGAGUUAGUGGAGCAUCAUAGGAACAUGUAGAGAGAUUGGUCAGUAAAAGGCAUUUGUGUUA